CUAACAAGGAUUCCCCCAGUAACGGCGAGUGAAGCGGGAAGAGCUCAAAUUUGAAAUCUCCGAUGCCUGCAUCGGCGAGUUGUAGUUGCGAGAAGCACUUUCUAGGCGGAAGGGCCCUGCCUAAGUUGCUUGGAACAGCACGUCGCAGAGGGUGACAACCCCGUCUGUGGCAAGGCCAGCCGCCCACGAUGUGCUUUCGAAGAGUCGGGUUGUUUGGGAAUGCAGCCCAAAAUGGGUGGUAAACUCCAUCUAAAGCUAAAUACUGGCGUGAGACCGAUAGCGAAGGAAACGAAUGGACUCAGCAAUGCUCCCUUUGAGAUUCAGCCGGCGACCUGUGGCGGCGCGGGGUUUGCGGAUCCGAACGGACCGCGGUCUCGUGCCCGACUCGGGUUCGCCGUCGCACUUCUCUUGGGCGCGCGUCAGCGUGGGUCGGAACUGGGUGUCGGAGGUGCCGCGGAAGGUAGGUCUGGGGUCUCGGCUCUGGACUGUUACAGCCCGGCUCCCGCGACUCGGGUCCGAUCGAGGACGUCGCAGCGCGUGCCUCUUGUGGCUAGGGUCCCGUCCUUCCGGCCGGUCGUCGACAGCGGUGGACUGCUUGCAGUGCUCUGCGACUGCUGCCGGUCGUUGGGGCGGUGUUCU
rnacentral:rRNA from 1 species